GACGAACGCUGGCGGCGUGCUUAACACAUGCAAGUCGAACGGAAAGGCCUUUUCGUUGGUACUUGAGUGGCGAACGGGCGAGUAACACGUGGGUGAUUUGCCUUGCCCUCUGUGUUGAGUAUGUGAAACUGGGUCUAAUACCUGAUAGGUACGAGCUUCUGUGUCUGGGUGGGGAAUGGUUAUUGGGGUCGGUUGGGGCUGGGGUCUAUCCGCUUGUUGGUGGGGUAAUGGUCUACCAAGGCGGCGACGGGUAGGCGGACUGAGAGGUUGGGCGGGCACAUUGGGGCUGAGGAACGGGCCAGGAUCCUACGGGAGGCAACAGUGGGGAAUAUUGCACAAUGGGGGCAAGCCUGAUGCAGCGACGCCGCGUGGGGGAUGACGGCCUUCGGGUUGUAAACUCCUUUCGCCAGGGACGAAGCGUUUUGUGACGGUACCUGGAGAAGAAGCACCGGCUAACUACGUG
rnacentral:rRNA from 1 species